AACUAACGCUGGCGGCGUGCCUAACACAUGCAAGUCGUACGAGAAAGUUGGCUUCGGCCGAUGAGUAAAGUGGCGCACGGGUGAGUAAUGCGUGGAUAAUCUGCCCUUUAGUUGGGAAUAACGUACCGAAAGGUGCGCUAAUACCUGAUAAUACUGCAUAACUACUGUUGUGUAGUCAAAGAAGGCCUCUGUUUACAAGCUUUUGCUGAAGGAUGAGUCCGCGUACCAUUAGCUGGUUGGUGGGGUAAUGGCCUACCAAGGCUACGAUGGUUAGCUGGUCUGAGAGGAUGAUCAGCCACACUGGAACUGAGACACGGUCCAGACUCCUACGGGAGGCAGCAGUGAGGAAUAUUGCGCAAUGGGGGCAACCCUGACGCAGCAACGCCGCGUGAGUGAGGAAGGUUUUCGGACCGUAAAGCUCUGUCGAGCGGGAAGAAAUCGUAUGGGCUAAUACCCUGUGCGGAUGACGGUACCGGCAUAAGAAGCACCGG
rnacentral:rRNA from 1 species